UCCUACGGGGGGCAGCAGUAAGGAAUAUUGGUCAAUGGACGAAAGUCUGAACCAGCCAUGCCGCGUGAAGGAUGAAGGUCCUCUGGAUUGUAAACUUCUUUUAUAUGGGACGAAAAAAGGGUUUUCUAACUCGUCUGACGGUACCAUAUGAAUAAGCACCGGCUAACUCCGUGCCAGCAGCCGCGGUAAUACGGAGGGUGCAAGCGUUAUCCGGAUUCACUGGGUUUAAAGGGUGCGUAGGUGGGUUGGUAAGUCAGUGGUGAAAUCCCCGAGCUUAACUUGGGAACUGCCAUUGAUACUAUCAGUCUUGAAUACCGUGGAGGUCAGCGGAAUAUGUCAUGUAGCGGUGAAAUGCUUAGAUAUGACAUAGAACACCAAUUGCGAAGGCAGCUGGCUACGCGAAUAUUGACACUGAGGCACGAAAGCGUGGGGAUCAAACAGGAUUAGAUACCCCGGUAGU
rnacentral:rRNA from 1 species